UCGGCGAAACUGAAACACCUGUGAAGAUACAGGUUACCCGCAACAGGACGGAAAGACCCCGUGGAGCUUUACUGCAUCCUGUCACUGAUCUGGGGCUUGCCAUGUAGAGGAUAGCUGGGAGACUGUGAAGUCGGGGCGCUAGCCUCGGCGGAGUCACCCUUGGAAUACCAGCCUUGGUUGGUCUUAGAUCUAACGUGCGCCCUGAUCGGGCGUGCAGACCGUGGCAGGUGGGCAGUUUGACUGGGGCGGUCGCCUCCUAAAGCGUAACGGAGGCGCCCAAAGGUUCCCUCAGCCUGGAUGGAAAUCAGGCCUAAAGAGUGUAAAGGCACAAGGGAGCUUGACUGUGAGGCAUACAAGCCGAACAGGGACGAAAGUCGGGCUUAGUGAUCCGCCAGCCCUGAAUGGAAAGGCUGGCGCUCAACGGACAAAAGCUACCCCGGGGAUAACAGGCUUAUCUUGCCCAAGAGUCAGAAGUGGCUCCCCGCCCAAGCGAUUGGGCGGUGAACUGCGGCUCAUAUCGGUGGAACCCAAGCAGAGUUCGAGGUAAGAUUCUGCGGGCAAUACCGAGGGAAGGUUGCUUGUUGUGGAAACGCUUCGAGUUUCUACAAGCUACGUUUGGAAGCUGCGAGGCUUCCAAGCAUGCUCUACAAGCUUCCCCCGUAACGACUUCUCGCUUUUUGCGAGGGAUGGAAGUCCAGGCCAUUGGGGCCAAAUCCACGACUUCCAUAAGACGCCGCUAUCUCGAAAGAGAUGAAGGUAUAGUCUGCGCUGCAAGGAAUUGCAGAGCGUCACAUCGACGGCAAGGUUUGGCACCUCGAUGUCGGCUCGUCGCAUCCUGGGGCUGGAGUAGGUCCCAAGGGUUGGGCUGUUCGCCCAUUAAAGCGGUACGCGAGCUGGGUUUAGAACGUCGUGAGACAGUUCGGUCCCUAUCCGUGGUGGGCGCAGGAGACUUGAGAGGAGUUACCCUCAGUACGAGAGGACCGGGGUGAACGGACCUCUGGUGUCCCGGUUGUCAUGCCAAUGGCAGUGCCGGGUAGCUAUGUUCGGAUGGGAUAAGUGCUGAAAGCAUCUAAGUACGAAGCCCACCUCAAGACAAGGUCUCCCACUGGGUUAACCAGGUAAGACCCCAGCGAGACUAGCUGGUUGAUAGGCCGCAGGUGUAAGACGGGCAACCGUUUCAGCUGAGCGGUACUAAUAGGUCGAGGGCUUGACCAUCUA
rnacentral:rRNA from 1 species